ensembl:snRNA U2 U2 spliceosomal RNA
CUAACUGCUCAGCCUUUUGGCUAAGAUCAAGUGUAGUAUCUGUUGUUACAUGCUUAAUAUCCGAUUCCUCCUCUAUCUGAGGACAUGUUAAGUGGAUUUUGGAAGCAGGGAGCUAGAACAGGAGCUUGCUCCAUCAACUCCACACAUCUACCUGGUACUGCAGUACCUCCAGGAAUGAUGCACCCCCU